rnacentral:tRNA from 1 species
GCCUUCGUGGUGUAGUGGUCAGCACGCUCGACGCGUAUUCGAGAGGAGCGUGGUUCGAAUCCCGGCGAGGGUA